rnacentral:rRNA from 1 species
GAUGAACGCUGGCGGCGUGCCUAAUACAUGCAAGUCGAGCGAACAGACGAGGAGCUUGCUCCUCUGACGUUAGCGGCGGACGGGUGAGUAACACGUGGAUAACCUACCUAUAAGACUGGGAUAACUUCGGGAAACCGGAGCUAAUACCGGAUAAUAUAUUGAACCGCAUGGUUCAAUAGUGAAAGACGGUUUUGCUGUCACUUAUAGAUGGAUCCGCGCCGCAUUAGCUAGUUGGUAAGGUAACGGCUUACCAAGGCGACGAUGCGUAGCCGACCUGAGAGGGUGAUCGGCCACACUGGAACUGAGACACGGUCCAGACUCCUACGGGAGGCAGCAGUAGGGAAUCUUCCGCAAUGGGCGAAAGCUUGACGGAGCAACGCCGCGUGAGUGAUGAAGGUCUUCGGAUCGUAAAACUCUGUUAUUAGGGAAGAACAAAUGUGCAAGUAACUAUGCACGUCUUGACGGUACCUAAUCAGAAAGCCACGGCUAACUACGUG